rnacentral:rRNA from 1 species
GACGAACGCUGGCGGCGUGCUUAACACAUGCAAGUCGAACGAUGAAGGAGAGCUUGCUCUCCGGAUUAGUGGCGAACGGGUGAGUAACACGUGACUAACCUGCCCCUUUCUCUGGGAUAACGCUCCGCAAGGAGUGCUAAUACCGGAUACGAACUCUGAACACAUGUUCGGAGCUGGAAAGUUUUUCGGAAAGGGAUGGAGUCGCGGCCUAUCAGCUUGUUGGUGAGGUAAUGGCUCACCAAGGCGACGACGGGUAGCCGGCCUGAGAGGGCGACCGGCCACACUGGGACUGAGACACGGCCCAGACUCCUACGGGAGGCAGCAGUGGGGAAUAUUGCACAAUGGGCGAAAGCCUGAUGCAGCGACGCCGCGUGAGGGAUGAAGGUCUUCGGAUUGUAAACCUCUUUCAGUAGGGACGAAGCGAAAGUGACGGUACCUAAAGAAGAAGCACCGGCUAACUACGUGCCAGCCGCCGCGGUAA